rnacentral:rRNA from 1 species
GACGAACGCUGGCGGCGUGCCUAAUACAUGCAAGUCGAGCGGAUGCAUCCUUCGGGGUGUGUUAGCGGCGGACGGGUGAGUAACACGUAGGCAACCUGCCUGUAAGAUCGGGAUAACUACCGGAAACGGUAGCUAAGACCGAAUAGCUGGUCCCCUUGCAUGAGGGGACCAUGAAACACGGUGCAAACUGUGACUUACAGAUGGGCCUGCGGCGCAUUAGCUAGUUGGAGGGUAACGCCUACAAGGC